GGCCGUGUAGCUCAAUGGCAGAGCGUCUGACUACGAUUAAUGUCCUGUGAUGUUAUUCCAUGUAAUCAGAAGGUCGCAGGUUCGACCCCUGUCUCGGUCA
rnacentral:tRNA from 1 species